ensembl:lncRNA
AGAAGAGAAGAACUACAUACUACAUACCCUAGAGGACUUUGUGUUGUUCUGUUUCCAUUUUCUGCUCAGAGGGAAAGAUAAAACUGUUUGCAGAUCACAAGGUGGCCCUCUCUUUUCCCUUUCUGCUCGGCAGCAUGUCCGCUCACUAGAUCAUCUCACCCUCAGCAUUAGAGUAAGGCCUUUGGUUUUCAGACACUCUCUCUCAAUUUUUUUUUCUUUUUAAUUAUUUACUAGCUUCAAUUCCAAUUAUAUUGUAUAAUAUGGUAAUGUAUUAUGUUAUCUCGUAUUCCGGUAUCUCAUUUAGUAAAUUAGAUUUCCUUCUCCGAUCACUGCCACUGUUUUGUUUCAGGCCCAUCUCCCUGCCCUUUCCCUUUUUUUCCUUUUCUCUUUCCCACGGCAUGGGUCCAUGGGUUCCUUCACCCCAUUAGUCACAGAACUGAGCCGAAGUGGCCCAUAAACCAUUGACAGUAGACCAUUAAACUCUGUUUGAGAAAUCCAGUCUAGUGGGAUCAUAUGGAGUCCCACUAUCAGAAGAGGAAAAGAGCAUCUAUAGUUACAGGCUUGUCAAGAUUGCAGUGAAAGCUUUAAAUUAAAGUUGACUAGUGUCAGAAGUGGCUGCCUGAGAUAAGAUAAACAGCAAAGUUCAAUGAGAGGACACCUGAAGAGCAUCACAAAUGAAUGUCAGUCAGUGAAUCUGCUUCAUUAGGGAGCAACUUAAGCGCCUCUACACAAAUAAACAUAGCAUGGGACAUAAGCAAGAGGGGACAGAAUUCUUAGCUCAUUCUAAAGGCUAUGAUAUUGUAGGCCUCAAUGAGACAUGAUGGGAUGUGUUGCACAACUGGAGUGCUGAAAUCAAUGUCUACAGGCUCUUCACGAGUGAUAUCCAGGGAAGUGCUCAUCCUGCUUCAUCUUACAAUGGUGAAGGCAGUGGGGAGACUAAAGUAAAAUACUUCAAAGGAAUUAAGAAGUUAUCCUCCAAGAAGGUGACAGGACCAGCUGCAGAGAUUAAGUGCUUUUACAUCAGCACAUACAGCUUGGGAAACAAACAGAGGGAGUUGGAAGCCACUGUGUUUCUGGGAGACCACAAUGUAGUUGCCAUUGCCAAAACCUGGUGGGAUGACUCCCAUGACUGGAAUGUUGUUACUGACAGAUACAAGAUGUUCGGAACAGAUAGAUGAGGAAGGAGGGAAGGAGACUUGGCCUACUAUAUCAACGAAGGAAUAGAGUGUAAAGAGCUGUCCCUUAAGAAUGGCCACAAGCAAGUCAGAAGUCUGUUGGUGAGAGUUAGAGACUGAGGCAACGAAGGGAGAUUUGUGAUUGGGGUCUAUUGUAGACUACCUGAUCAAGUGGUGCCUGUUGAUGAUGUCUUCCGUCAGCUACAGGAAGUGUCACGAUCAGGCUGUUGUCCUGCUGGGGGACUUCUACUGGAAAACUAGAACAGUGAGCUGUGGGCAAUCUAGGAAACUCUUGGGUUUUAUCAAGGAUAACUUCCUGAGCCCUGUAAUAGACAAUACCAGGAGGCUGUCUAAGCAAUGCUGGAUCUGUUUCUCAACAACGCUAAUGAACUGAUUGGUGACAUCAGGAUUGGAGGCUGCUUGGGCUGAAGUGACCACGCAGUUCCAGAGUACACUCUCUUCAGGUAUAUUAGAUAGAUAGUAAAAUCAGGAAGCUUAAUUUCAGGAAAGCCAAAUGCCAGCUCUUCAGCAAUUUAGUCCACAAAACCUCCUGGGAGUCUGUCCUCAAGGACAAGGGAGUGGAAGAAAGCUGGCACUUCUUUAAAAAAGCUCUCCUUAGGUCACAAAAGCUUGCCAUCCCCAGGUGUAGGAAGUUGGGGAAGGAGGGCAAGAGACCAGAAUGGCUAAAAUGAGACAUACUGGUCAAAACCACGCAGGCAGUGAAAGCAUGGACAUGUAACCUGGGAGGAGUACAAGGAUUCAUUACAUUGUGUAGGGAUGAGGUCAGGAAGGCCAAGGCCCACCUGGAACUGGACUUAGCAAGGGGAACAAAGGAUUAGAAAGCCUUCUAUAGGUACAUCAGCUGGAAAAGGAAAGUCCGGGAGGACACAGCCCACCUACUGAGCAAUGCAGGCAGUCUUGUAAGAGGAGACAAAGAGAAUGCUGAGAUUUCAGUAACUUUUUAUUUCAGUCUCCACUAGUGUCUGCUCUCCACACAGAUCUCAAGUGGAUGGCUUGGAAUGUGAGAACUGAGGGUGGGAGCACUGCACCUCCCCUUGUGAGAAAAGUUCAGGUCCACAACCAAUUUAUGAUUCUAAACAUCCAUAAGUCUGUGGGUCCUGAUAAGAUGCAUUCCAGAGUCCCUCAGUUUCAGGAAAAGAAUGUAAGAUAAUUAC